rnacentral:rRNA from 1 species
AAAAGUAGUGAAGCGUGUGAGCCAUGUGCCGAGAAAAGCUGCUAUUGUGUAAUGCGUGCCCGUACCGUAAACCGACACAGGUGGAUGAGGAGAGAAUCCUAAGGCCGGCGGAAGAAGCAUUGUUAAGGAAUUCGGCAAAAUGACCCCGUAACUUCGGGAGAAGGGGUGCCUGCGAGAGCAGGCCGCAGAGAAUAGGCUCAAGCAACUGUUUAGCAAAAACACAGGUCUAUGCGAAACCGAAAGGUGAAGUAUAUGGGCUGACGCCUGCCCGGUGCUGGAAGGUUAAGAGGAGAGGUUAGCGUAAGCGAAGCUUUGAAUUUAAGCCCCAGUAAACGGCGGCCGUAACUAUAACGGUCCUAAGGUAGCGAAAUUCCUUGUCGGGUAAGUUCCGACCCGCACGAAAGGCGUAAUGAUUUGAGCACUGUCUCGACAAUGCAUCCGGUGAAAUUGAAGUACCAGUGAAGAUGCUGGUUACCCGCGCCAGGACGGAAAGACCCCAUGGAGCUUUACUCCAGUUUGAUACUGGGAUUCGGUACUGCAUGUACAGGAUAGGUGGGAGACGAAGAAGGAUGGACGCCAGUCUGUCCGGAGUCGCUGUUGGGAUACCACCCCUGUAGUACUGGGUUUCUAACCAGUUGCCAUGAACUGGCAAUGGGACAACGUCAGGCGGGGAGUUUGACUGGGGCGGUCGCCUCCGAAAAGGUAUCGGAGGCGCUCAAAGGUUCCCUCAGAAUGGUUGGAAACCAUUUGAAGAGUGCAAAGGCAGAAGGGAGCUUGACUGCGACACCGACGGGUGGAGCAGGUACGAAAGUAGGACUUAGUGAUCCGGUGGUAUAAAGUGGGAUUGCCAUCGCUCAACGGAUAAAAGCUACCCUGGGAUAACAGGCUUAUCACUCCCAAGAGUUCACAUCGACGGAGUGGUUUGGCACCUCGAUGUCGGCUCAUCGCAUCCUGGGGCUGUAGCAGGUCCCAAGGGUUGGGCUGUUCGCCCAUUAAAGCGGUACGCGAGCUGGGUUCAGAACGUCGUGAGACAGUUCGGUCCCUAUCCGGCGCGGGCGGAGGAUAUUUGAGAGGAGCUGUCCUUAGUACGAGAGGACCGGGAUGGACGGACCACUGGUGUAUCUGUUGUCGACCAACGGCAUGGCAGAGUAGCCAAGUCUGGAAGGGAUAAACGCUGAAGGCAUCUAAGCGUGAAGCCCCCCUCAAGAUGAGAUAUCCCUCCUUCGGGAGUAAGACCCCUUGAAGACUACAAGGUAGAUAGGGCAGAGGUGGAAGCAUGGCAACAUGUGGAGCUGACUGUUACUAAUAGGUCGAGGGCUUAAU